UGGGACUCCAGUGAGCACUGCGAGCAUCCCGGAGCGCGCCAAGUCGGCGUGGGGGUCAUGCGUGGCCCGUGCGCCCCCGGCCUGGGUUCCGGCUAGGCAGGGCGCGACGGGAGAGGGGCCACCUCGACGGUCCAAGGCUGGCAGGGGCCCGCGCUCGGCCGCUGGCGUCCAUGCCGCCCAGCUUCGUCUCUGGCUCUGGUCCGAGGACUAGCGGCGAUCGUCAGCAGAGCGCGCGGGACCCAGGGCGCGCGCGCGGCAUCUGUGGGCUCCGAGAAGCUCUUUGCCCCAGCAGCCGAUAAAGGCCCCACGCUGGGCGAGAAGUCCGAGGCCAAGACCGGGGCAGCGCCCAAGGUCUCGGGUCUCGAGCGCAGCCGCGAGCUGAGCACCGAGCCGCCAUUCUUGGCCCCCGUGCGCAGCCCCGCGCCGGUCCUGCCCU
rnacentral:lncRNA from 1 species